UGGGGAAUCAUGGUCAAUGGGCGAAAGCCUGAACCUGCGACGCCGCGUGAGUGAUGAAGGUCGUAAGAUCGUAAAACUCUUUUCAGGGAUCUUAACGCACAGCUGUCAACAACAGCUGUGUCUGACUCUCCCUGGAAGAAGCCCCAGCCAACUACGUGCCAGCAGCUGCGGUAAUACGUAGGGGGCGAGCGUUAUUCGGAAUUACUGGGUGUAAAGGGUAUGUAGGCGGCCCUUCAAGUCGCGUGUCAAAGUCCAGUGCUCAACGCUGGGUGUGCGCGCGAUACUGACGGGCUUGAGGGCUGGAGAGGUGAGCGGAAUUCCCGGUGUAGGGGUAAAAUACGUAGAGAUCGGGAGGAACAUCAGUGGCGAAGGCGCCCUUCUGGACAGCAACUGACGCUGAGACGCGAAAGCGUGGGGAGCAAACA
rnacentral:rRNA from 1 species